GAUGAACGCUGGCGGCGUGCCUAAUACAUGCAAGUCGAGCGAACAGACGAGGAGCUUGCUCCUCUGACGUUAGCGGCGGACGGGUGAGUAACACGUGGAUAACCUACCUAUAAGACUGGGAUAACUUCGGGAAACCGGAGCUAAUACCGGAUAAUAUAUUGAACCGCAUGGUUCAAUAGUGAACGACGGUUUUGCUGUCACUUAUAGAUGGAUCCGCGCCGCAUUAGCUAGUUGGUAAGGUAACGGCUUACCAAGGCAACGAUGCGUAGCCGACCUGAGAGGAUGAUCAGCCACACUGGAACUGAGACACGGUCCAGACUCCUACGGGAGGCAGCAGUAGGGAAUCUUCCGCAAUGGGCGAAAGCCUGACGGAGCAACGCCGCGUGAGUGAUGAAGGUCUUCGGAUCGUAAACCUCUGUUAUUAGGGAAGAACAAAUGUGUAAGUAACUAUGCACGUCUUGACGGUACCUAAUCAGAAAGCCACGGCUAACUACGUG
rnacentral:rRNA from 1 species